CACUCAGGGUCACUCAGGGGUCACUCAGGGUCACUCAGGGGUCACUCAGGGGUCACUCAGAGGUCAUUGGGGUCACUCUGGGGUCAGGGACACCAAAAUCUGGGAGAAUUGGGGGAAAUUUGGGAAUUUCAGGGGGAAUUUUGGGGUCCUGGGGUGGGAAUUUGGGGAAUUUUGGGGUCCUGGGGUCGGAAUUUUGGGAAUUCCCCCCCCAGCCUGGAUUUUUCUGGGAAUUCCGAACUUUUUGGGCUUUCUUUUCCCUCCUGCCCGGAAUCCCCUGCCCUGAACCCUCCCAAAAACCCCAAAAUAACCCAAAAAAAUUCCCAAAAAAUUCCAAAAAAAAUUCCCAAAAAAUUCCCAAAAAAAUUCCCAAAAAAUUCCCCAAAAAAUUCCCAAAAUACCCCAAAAAAUUUAAAAAAAAUUCCCAAAAAAUUCCAAAAAAUUCCAAAAAAGUUCCCAAAAAUUCCCAAAAAAAUUGCCAAAACACCCCAAAAAAUUAAAAAAAAAUUCCCAAAAAAUUCCAAAAAAAUCCCCAAAAUCCCCCCAAAAAAUUCCCCCCAAAAUCCCCAAAAAUUCCCAAAAAAAUUCCGAAAAAUUCAAAAAAAAUUCCCAAAAAAUUCCCAAAAUACCCCCAAAAAAUCCCCAAAAAUUCCCCAAAAAUUCCCAAAAAAAUCCCCAAAAAUUCCCCAAAAAAUUCCAAAAAAAAUCCCAAAAAAUUCCAAAAAAAACCAAAAAAAUUCCCAAAAAAAUCCCAAAAAAUUCCAAAAAAAUCCCCAAAAAUUCCCAAAAAAAUUCCAAAAAAAUCCCCAAAAAUCCCCAAAAAUUCCCCAAAAAGUUCCAAAAAAAUCCCCCAAAAAUCCCCCAAAAUUCCAAAAAAUCCCCAAAAAUUCCAAAAAAAUUGCCCAAAAAUUCCCCAAAAAAUCCCCAAAAAUUCAAAAAAAUUCCAAAAAAAUUCCAAAAAAUUCCCAAAAAUUCUUAAAAAAUCCCCAAAAAUUCCCCAAAAAUCUCCAAAAAUCCCCGACUUCCCCCGAAUUUCCGGAUCCAGGACCCGGUGUUCGCCCUGGAGCAGAACCUGCCCAUCGACACCCGCUACUACCUGGAGCAGCAGCUGAGCCGGCCCCUGCUGAGGAUCUUCGAGCCCAUCCUGGGCGAGGGCCGGGCCCAGGCGGUGCUGCUGCGUGAGUAUUCCCGGGAAAUCCCCGGAAUUCCCAAAAAUCCCCGGAAUUCCCAAAAAACCGCGUCCGAAUCGGGGCAAAAACGGCGAAAAUGGAGCGAAAAUGGAGCGAAAUUGAGUGAAAUUUGAGCAAAAUUCAGCCAAAAUGGAAUCGAAAUCCAGGAUUUUGUCAAAAAUUCCUGAAAAUUCCCGGAAUUCCCCAAAAUUCCCCAAAAUUCCCAAAAAACCGCGUCCGAAUCGGGGCAAAAACGGCGAAAAUGGAGCGAAAAUGGAGCGAAAUUGAGUGAAAUUUGAGCAAAAUUCAGCCAAAAUGGAAUUGAAAUCCAUGAUUUUGUCAAAAAUUCCCAAAAGUUCCUGAAAAUUCCCGGAAUUCCUUGAAAUUCCCAAAAAACCGCAUCAAAAUUGGGCCAAAAACGGCGAAAAUGGAGCGAAAAUUCAGCAAAAUUGAGUGAAAUUUGAGCAAAAUUCACUCAAAUUUGCCCCAAAAUGAGGAGUUUUGAGCCCAUUCUGGGUGUGGGCGGGGCUGCUGCGUGAGUAUUCCCGGGAAAUCCCCGGAAUUCCCAAAAAAUCCCCGGAAUUCCCAAAAAACUGCGUCCGAAUCGGCCCAAAAACGGCGAAAAUGGAGCGAAAAUGGAGCGAAAUUGAGAGAAAUUUGAGCAAAAUUCAGCCAAAAUGGAAUUGAAAUCCAGGAUUUUGUCAAAAAUUCCGGAAAAUUCCUGGAAUUCCCAAAAAUUCCCAAAAAACCGCAUCAAAAUCAGAUCAAAAACAGCGAAAAUUGGGCAAAAAUUGAGAAAAAUGGGGCAAAAUUGAGAGAAAUUUGAGCAAAAUUCAGCCAAAAUGGGAUCAAAAUCCAGGAUUUUGUCUCAAAUUCCCGAAAGUUCCUGAAAAUUCCCAGAAUUCCUGAAAAUUCCCAAAAAACCGCAUCAAAAUUGGGCCAAAAACGGCGAAAACCAAGCAAAAAUGGAGCAAAAUUUCACCAAAAUUCACCCAAAUCCGCCCAAAAUGGGA
ensembl:lncRNA